UCAUAUUGCUGCUGGUGAUACUGAGAAAGGGGAGCUGCUGGUUAAGGACGUGUUGGAAACAGCAUCUUCUCCCUUUGACGCAUAUAGCUCUCUCUCCAGUGCAUGUUACCAAUGUAAUCCUAUGAUGGAUAAAGCGUUAUACUGGGCAGAGCAGACCAUUGAGCUUGAUCCGAGAGAAAAUCCCGGUCUACUAAAUACGUACGCUGAAUUGUUAUUUGCCAAUGGCCAAAUUCAGAAGGCUGUGGAAGUAGCUACGCAGGU
rnacentral:rRNA from 1 species